rnacentral:tRNA from 1 species
GGAGAGAUGCCGGAGCGGUCGAACGGGGCGGUCUCGAAAACCGUUGACCCCCUCUGGGGGUCCCAGGGUUCGAAUCCCUGUCUCUCCG